rnacentral:rRNA from 1 species
UUUUAUGGAGAGUUUGAUCCUGGCUCAGGAUGAACGCUGGCGGCGUGCCUAAUACAUGCAAGUCGAGCGAACGGACGAGAAGCUUGCUUCUCUGAUGUUAGCGGCGGACGGGUGAGUAACACGUGGAUAACCUACCUAUAAGACUGGGAUAACUUCGGGAAACCGGAGCUAAUACCGGAUAAUAUUUUGAACCGCAUGGUUCAAAAGUAAAAGACGGUCUUGCUGUCACUUAUAGAUGGAUCCGCGCUGCAUUAGCUAGUUGGUAAGGUAACGGCUUACCAAGGCAACGAUGCAUAGCCGACCUGAGAGGGUGAUCGGCCACACUGGAACUGAGACACGGUCCAGACUCCUACGGGAGGC